AUUGAACGCUGGCGGCAGGCCUAACACAUGCAAGUCGAACGGUAACAGGAAGCAGCUUGCUGCUUUGCUGAUGAGUGGCGGACGGGUGAGUAAUGUCUGGGAAACUGCCUGAUGGAGGGGGAUAACUACUGGAAACGGUAGCUAAUACCGCAUAACGUCGCAAGACCAAAGAGGGGGACCUUAGGGCCUCUUGCCAUCGGAAGUGCCCAGAUGGGAUUAGCUAGUAGGUGGGGUAACGGCUCACCUAGGCGACGAUCCCUAGCUGGUCUGAGAGGAUGACCAGCCACACUGGAACUGAGACACGGUCCAGACUCCUACGGGAGGCAGCAGUGGGGAAUAUUGCACAAUGGGCGCAAGCCUGAUGCAGCCAUGCCGCGUGUAUGAAGAAGGCCUUCGGGUUGUAAAGUACUUUCAGCGGGGAGGAAGGGAGUAAAGUUAAUACCUUUGCUCAUUGACGUUACCCGCAGAAGAAGCACCGGCUAACUCCGUG
rnacentral:rRNA from 1 species